UACGUAGGGUGCGAGCGUUGUCCGGAUUUAUUGGGCGUAAAGAGCUCGUAGGCGGUUUGUCGCGUCGGCCGUGAAAUCUCCACGCUUAACGUGGAGCGUGCGGUCGAUACGGGCAGACUUGAGUUCGGUAGGGGAGACUGGAAUUCCUGGUGUAGCGGUGAAAUGCGUAGAUAUCAGGAGGAACACCGGUGGCGAAGGCGGCUACCUGGACAGAGUCUGACGCUGAGGCACGAAAGCUAGGGGAGCAAACAGG
rnacentral:rRNA from 1 species